AGUGAAGCGGGAAGAGCUCAAAUUUAAAAUCUGGCUUGCUUGCAAGUCCGAGUUGUAGUCUGAAGAAACGUUUUCCAUGAAAGCUGAGGCACAAGUCCUUUGGAACAGGGCAUCAUAGAGGGUGAGAAUCCCGUCCAUGGUCUCAUGCAUUUCAUUUUGUGAUACGUUUUCUAAGAGUCAGGUUGUUUGGGAAUGCAGCCUAAAAUGGGUGGUAAAUUUCAUCUAAAGCUAAAUAUUGGCGAGAGACCGAUAGCGAACAAGUACCGUGAGGGAAAGAUGAAAAGAACUUUGAAAAGAGAGUUAAAAAGUACGUGAAAUUGUUGAAAGGGAACCGUUUGAAGCCAGUCUUGCUUACUUGUGAUCAAUCUUAGCUUCGGCUUGGAUGCACUCUCGAGUUAUGCAGGUCAACGUCAGUUUGAGAGGUGGGAAAAAAGUUUGAGGAAUGUGGCCUUCGGGUGUUAUAGCCUCUUACUAAAUACCAUCUCCUGGACUGAGGCUCGCAGCAAAAAUGUGGGUUGGUUUGCUCCUGAGGUGAAUCAUUAUUAAGACAGCUUGCUGACUUAGUUUUGUGGAUCUUCACGGUAGACCAGCUUCUAAUUUGCUUAGGUCGUUGACAUAAUGGCUUUAAAUGAC
rnacentral:rRNA from 1 species